AGUGAACGCUGGCGGCGUGCCUAACACAUGCAAGUCGGACGGGUCCCGGGUAGCAAUAUCUGGGACUAGUGGCGAACGGGUGAGUAACACGUGGGUAACCUGCCCUCGAGUGGGGAAUAAGCUCUCGAAAGGGGGUCUAAUACCGCAUAACGUUUCAUGGCGAUGGUCAUGAAACCAAAGCCCAAAAGGCGCUCGAGGAGGGGCCUGCGGCCUAUCAGCUAGUUGGUAGGGUAAUGGCCUACCAAGGCUACGACGGGUAGCCGGCCUGAGAGGGUGUCCGGCCACACUGGGACUGAGACACGGCCCAGACUCCUACGGGAGGCAGCAGUGGGGAAUUUUGCGCAAUGGGGGAAACCCUGACGCAGCGACGCCGCGUGGAGGAUGACGGCCUUCGGGUUGUAAACUCCUGUCAGAGGGGACGAAAUCCCGCAAGGGACUGACGGUACCCUCAGAGGAAGCCCCGGCUAACUACGUGCCAGCAGCCGCGGUAAUACGUAGGGGGCAAGCGUUACUCGGAAUUACUGGGCGUAAAGGGUGAGUAGGCGGCUGGGCAAGUCAAGGAUGAAAUCCCGAGGCUCAACUUCGGAACCGUCCUUGAAACUGCUCAGCUUGAGGGUAGUUGAGGAGAGCGGAAUUCCCGGUGGAGCGGUGGAAUGCGUAGAUAUCGGGAGGAACACCUGAGGCGAAGGCGGCUCUCUAAGCUACUCCUGACGCUGAAUCACGAAAGCUAGGGGAGCAAACGGGAUUAGAUACCCCGGUAGUCCUAGCCGUAAACGAUGGACACUAGAUAUUCCGGCGUUUUCGCUGGAGUGUCGUAGCUAACGCGUUAAGUGUCCCGCCUGGGGAGUACGGUCGCAAGGCUGAAACUCAA
rnacentral:rRNA from 1 species